rnacentral:rRNA from 1 species
UACGGGGGGAGCAAGCGUUGUUCGGAUUUACUGGGCGUAAAGAGCUCGUAGGCGGUCUGUCGCGUCGGCUGUGAAAUCCCGAGGCUCAACCUCGGGUCUGCAGUCGAUACGGGCAAACUGGAGUGUUGCAGGGGAGACUGGAAUUCCUGGUGUAGCGGUGAAAUGCGCAGAUAUCAGGAGGAACACCAUGGCGAAGGCAGAUCUCUGGGCCGUAACUGACGCUGAGGAGCGAAAGACAUGGGGAGCGAACAGG